rnacentral:rRNA from 1 species
GAUGAACGCGGCGGCGUGCCUAACACAUGCAAGUCGAACGGAGUCCAGCCUUAGAGACCUUCGGGUCAAAGAGGGGAAGACUGAGUGGCGGACGGGUGAGUAACGCGUGGGCAACCUGGCUCAUAGAGGGGGAUAACGGAGAGAAAUUUUGCUAAUACCGCAUAAGCACACACUGCCGCACGGCAGAGUGUGAAAAGAGAAUCGCUAUGAGAUGGACCCGCGUCUGAUUAGCCAGUUGGCAGGGUAAGAGCCUACCAAAGCGACGAUCAGUAGCCGAUCUGAGAGGAUGAACGGCCACAUUGGGACUGAGACACGGCCCAAACUCCUACGGGAGGCAGCAGUGGGGGAUAUUGCACAAUGGGGGGAACCCUGAUGCAGCGACGCCGCGUGAGUGAAGAAGUAUUUCGGUAUGUAAAGCUCUAUCAGCAGGGAAGAUAAUGACAG